rnacentral:rRNA from 1 species
UACGUAGGCAGCAAGCGUUGUUCGGAAUUACUGGGCGUAAAGAGUGUGUAGGCGGUGCUCUAAGUUCGGUGUGAAAUCUCCCGCUUAACUGGGAGGGUGCGCCGGAAACUGGAGUGCUCGAGCGUGGGAGAGGAAAGUGGAAUUCCUGGUGUAGCGGUGAAAUGCGUAGAUAUCAGGAGGAACACCUGCGGUGUAGACGGCUUUCUGGACCAUUGCUGACGCUGAGACACGAAAGCGUGGGUAGCAAACAGG